CCAGCCGUCUAGUGAGCUACCAUGGGACGACAUGGGGGCGUUGGUUUAGCGGUUUUCGUACUCGUGCUGGUCUUUUGCGAAGCAAGAAGACACAAACUCGCCCUAAAGAAUGACUCUAGGUUUGUGGUUCAUCUCAACACCUUUGGUUUCUUUGCCAACGGAACCCUGGACGUCAAGGUUCUCUCCUGAGACUGCCCGAGGACAACAGCAAGCACCCUGUGGGAUUCAGUCUCUCCAAGUCUCGUGUUAAUGGAGUGCUGUCCUACACAGCGGAGGAGACUGCGGUGUGUCCGCUCAGCAAACACAGCGGUGUGGAGCCCUUCUUCCUCUUCCUCAUUGACACCAACAACCUCAGAGUCAAUGUAAGGUCGUAUGGAGACCAGGACAGCGUCUUGACCCAGCUGAAGACAGACAAGACACUCACUAAAGACUCGGGUCAGCAGUAUUUACCUCCCUUCAAUACAACACAGUGGGGUAGUG